AUGGACGUUGUGGAGGACGUUGUGGUCAUUUCUGCAGUGGUCGUGGUUCUGCUUUUACUGCUGGUGGGUGAGGUGGGCGCUGUGGAUGUGCUGAGGAUGGUCGUGCCCGGUGUCGGAGGGACACUGGUCUUGAUCACAACCGUGGUGCCAGCACUGGUUGGCGUUGUCGGCUCGGGUAGUGUAGAGGAAGGGGUGGGUGUGAUGGUGGUGGUGCCUUUUGUUUCAGGGGGAGAGGUCUUGAUGGUGCUGGCACUGCUGUUGGGUGUGAUGGGCUCCGUUGGUGUGGAAAUGAUGGUGGUUGUGGGCUCUGUCCCAGGGGGAGAGGUCUUGAUGGUGCUGGCACUGCUGUUGGGUGUGAUGGGCUCUGUUGGUGUGGAAAUGAUGGUGGUUGUGGGCACUGUCACGGGGGUGGAGGUCUUGGCGCUGCUGGCACUGCUUGGGGCUGUGAAUGUGGUUGUGCUCUGUGCCAGGGAGGUGGGGGUCGUGCUGAUUACCGUGGUGCUGGUGGUGGUCGUCAGCGUUGACUGGGGAAGCGUAGAGGCGGUAGUGGGAGAUGCUGGAGUAGGUGUCGCCGCAGUGGACGUUUCGACCGGAAUGGACGUUGUGGAGGACGUUGUGGUCAUUUCUGCAGUGGUCGUGGGUCUGCUUUUACUGCUGGUGGGUGAGGUGGGCGCUGUGGAUGUGCUGAGGAUGGUCGUGCCCGGUGUCGGAGGGACACUGGUCUUGAUCACAACCGUGGUGCCAGCACUGGUUGGCGUUGUCGGCUCGGGUAGUGUAGAGGAAGGGGUGGGUGGUGCGGGAGUCUGGGUUGUCUCAGUGGAGGUUUCUGUGGGAGUGGGCUUAGCUGUAGAGCUUGGCGUGGUGCUUGGUGUUGUCGUACAGUGUUUGCGGUCACAGCACAGCAUACUGACCUGGUAGUUGAAGCACAUGGGGUACUUGCUGAUCUGAUCCUUGUUUCUGCACACAAGGCCUUUUUCGACGCUGCACUCCAGUACCUGGCCCAGGCUCUCCAGGCUCCUGUUGGGGUAGUUUUCAGCACGGCAGUUGAUGUCCCGUGGGUUGAUGCACACUUCAAAUCCAGCGGCUCUGAUGCUUGCAAACGUCUCUAUGUCUCCAUCGUCACUACCUUGUCCUGGGGAGUCCACGUCAAACCACUGAGUCCAGGCACAGCGCUCAUAGCACCCACCAGUGGUGGUGGAGGUGCUGGCGGUACUGGUGGGUGAGGUGGACGCUGUUGGUGUGAUGGUGGUGGUGCCUUUUGUUUCAGGGGGAGAGGUCUUGAUGGUGCUGGCACUGCUGUUGGGUGUGAUGGGCUCCGUUGGUGUGGAAAUGAUGGUGGUUGUGGGCUCUGUCCCAGGGGGAGAGGUCUUGAUGGUGCUGGCACUGCUGUUGGGUGUGAUGGGCUCUGUUGGUGUGGAAAUGAUGGUGGUUGUGGGCACUGUCACGGGGGUGGAGGUCUUGGCGCUGCUGGCACUGCUUGGGGCUGUGAAUGUGGUUGUGCUCUGUGCCAGGGAGGUGGGGGUCGUGCUGAUUACCGUGGUGCUGGUGGUGGUCGUCAGCGUUGACUGGGGAAGCGUAGAGGCGGUAGUGGGAGAUGCUGGAGUAGGUGUCGCCGCAGUGGACGUUUCGACCGGAAUGGACGUUGUGGAGGACGUUGUGGUCAUUUCUGCAGUGGUCGUGGGUCUGCUUUUACUGCUGGUGGGUGAGGUGGGCGCUGUGGAUGUGCUGAGGAUGGUCGUGCCCGGUGUCGCAGGGACACUGGUCUUGAUCACAACCGUGGUGCCAGCACUGGUUGGCGUUGUCGGCUCAGGGUAGUGUAGAGGAAGGGGUGGGUGUGAUGGUGGUGCUGCCUUUUGUUUCAGGGGGAGAGGUCUUUAUGGUGAUGGCACUGCUGGUAGGUGUGGUGAUGGUGGUGCUCGUGCCUUCUGUCAGAGGGACGGAGGUCUUGAUGGUGCUGGCACUGCUGUUGGGUGUGAUGGGCUGUGUUGGUGUGUUGAUGAUAGUGGUUGUGCCUAUUGUGACAGAGGGAUAUGUCUUGAUGGUGGUUGCUCUACUGCUAGUUGUGGUUGGUUCUUUUGGUGUGGUUGUGCUUUCUGAUAUAUUUGUGACUUUCGUUGUUAAUGUUGUUAUGUCCGAUUUUUGAGGUCCUGUUUUUCGUGUAGUUGUUGGUUGUGUUUUUGUUUGUAUUGUAAAUGGUGUUUCUAUAGCAGUAGUUGUUUGUAUUUCUGAACAUGGUUUAUAACUACAGCAUAGUAUUCUGAUAUUGUAGUUAUAGCAUUGCUUAGAUUUUUGGUCUUUGUUAUUGCAUAUCAAUCCUCUGGUUUGACUGCAUUCUACUAUUUGAUCAAGAUAUUUUAGUUCUUUAUCUGGGUGUUCUUCUGCUCUGCAUUGAACUCCACUUGGGUUUUUACAAACACUGUAUCCAUUGUUUUUUAGAUUUUCGUAAUUUUCAUAGUCUCCACUGUCCUCUCCGGUUUUAGGCUGUGUGCUAUCAUACCAUUCUGACCAUUCACAUACAUUCUUCACACAUACAGUUGUCACUGGUGUUGUGGUUGUGAUUUCUGUAAUUAAAAAGA
rnacentral:lncRNA from 1 species